UAGCCAGGCUGAAGGACCUCA
rnacentral:miRNA from 1 species